UUCCGUAGGGGGACCUGUGGGGGGGGAUCAGUACCCACGACACAACUCCCAACCCAAUGUGAACGUUACCAAACUGUUGCCUCGGCGGGAUCUCUGCCCCGGGGGCGUCGCAGCCCCGGACCAGGCGCCCGCCGGAGAACCAACCAAAACUCUUAUUGUACCACCUCGCGCGUUUUUUUAUAAUCUGAGCCUUCUCGGCGCCUCUCGUAGGCGUUUCGAAAAUGAAUCAAAACUUUCAACAACGGAUCUCUUGGUUCUGGCAUCGAUGAAGAACGCAGCGAAAUGCGAUAAGUAAUGUGAAUUGCAGAAUUCAGUGAAUCAUCGAAUCUUUGAACGCACAUUGCGCCCGCCAGUAUUCUGGCGGGCAUGCCUGUCCGAGCGUCAUUUCAACCCUCGAACCCCUCCGGGGGUCGGCGUUGGGGAUCGGCCCUCCCUUAGCGGGUGGCCGUCUCCGAAAUACAGUGGCGGUCUCGCCGCAGCCUCUCCUGCGAAGGAGUUUGCACACUCGCAUCGGGAGCGCGACGCGUCCACAGCCGAAAAACACCCAACUUCUGAAAUGUUGACAUCGAUCAGGUAGAUACCCCAGAAACUUAAGCAUAUCAUAGCGG
rnacentral:rRNA from 1 species